CCUACGGGUGGCAGCAGUGAGGAAUAUUGGUCAAUGGGCGCGAGCCUGAACCAGCCAAGUCGCGUGAGGGAAGACGGUUUUCGGAUUGUAAACCUCUGUCCUCUGUGAAGAUGAUGACGGUAGCAGAGGAGGAAGCUCCGGCAAACUACGUGCCAGCAGCCGCGGUAAUACGUCGGCAGCAAGCGUUGUCCGGAUUUACGGGGUGUAAAGGGUGCGUAGGCGGCUUUGCAAGUCAGAAGGAAAAUCCAUGGGCUAAACCCAUUAACUGAUUUUGAAACUGCAGAGCUUGAGUGGAGUAGUGGAAGGCGGAAUUGCCGGUGUAGCGGUGAAAGGCGUAGAGAUCGGGAGGAACACCAGUGGCGAAGGCGGCCUGCUGGGCUCUAACUGACGCUGAGGCACGAAAGCGUGGGUAGCAAACAGGAUUAGAUACCCCUGUAGU
rnacentral:rRNA from 1 species